UCAAGCGCGUAAGAGCAUUUGGUGGAUGCCUUGGCAUAAAGAGGCGAUGAAGGACGUGACAGACUGCGAUAAGCUCGGGCUUGCUGUCAAUAAGCUUAACCCGAGAUUUCCGAAUGGGGAAACCCGAUUACUUAUAAGUGAAUUCAUAGCUUAUAAGGGCGAACCUAGGGAACUGAAACAUCUAAGUACCUAGAGGAAAAGAUAUUCCGUUAGUAGUGGCGAGCGAACGCGGACCAGGCCAGUGCUACUUUUUACUAAACCAGAACUGUAUGGAAAGGCAGGCCAUAGUGAGUGAUAGCCUCGUAUGGGUAGAUAGUAAAAACUAGACAUGAGUAGGGCGGGACACGUGAAAUCCUGUCUGAAUAUAGGAAGACCACUUCCUAAGCCUAAAUACUACUUUAUGACCGAUAGUGAACCAGUACCGUGAGGGAAAGGCGAAAAGAACCCCUAGCAGGGGAGUGAAAUAGUACCUGAAACCAAUAGCUUACAAGCAGUAGGAGGGAUAUUUAUAUCCUGACUGCCUGCCUUUUGAAGAAUGAGCCAACGAGUUAUCCGUAUGUAGCAAGGUUAAGGAGUAAUUCCGUAUCCGCAGCGAAAGCGAGUUUUAAUAGAGCGUCUAGUUGCAUGCGAUAGACCCGAAGCCAAGUGAUCUAUCCAUGGGCAGGGUGAAGCGAAGGUAAGACUUCGUGAAGGCCCGAACCCACUGAUGUUGCAAAAUCAGGGGAUGACCUGUGGAUAGGGGUGAAAGGCCAAUCAAACUUGGUGAUAGCUGGUUCUCUCCGAAAUGUCUUUAGGGACAGCGUUAUAUGUUGCGCUUUGGAGGUAGAGCACUGAUUGGGCUAGGGGGCCAACAAGCUUACUGAACUCAGUCAAACUCCGAAUGCCAAAGUGUAUAAAUAUAGCAGUGAGCCUAUGGGGGAUAAGCUCCAUAGACGAGAGGGAAACAACCCAGAUCAUCAGCUAAGGCCCCUAAAUGUAUAUUAAGUGUGAAACGAUGUGAGAGUGUUCAGACAGCCAGGAGGUUGGCUUAGAAGCAGCCAUCCUUUAAAGAUAGCGUAACAGCUCACCGGUCUAAUAGAGUUUCUGCGCCGAAGAUGUAACGGGGCUAAAAUCAUAUACCGAAUCUGUGGAUUUAUAAUUUUUUCGAAAAUUAUAACUGGUAGCGGAACGUUCUGUAAGCCUGUGAAGGGAUACCCGUGAGGGAUCCUGGAGGUAUCAGAAGUGCGAAUGCUGACAUGAGUAACGAUAAUGGGAGUGAAAAACUCCCACGCCGGAAGACCAAGGUUUCCUGUCCCAUGCUAAUCAGGGCAGGGUAAGUCGGCCCCUAAGGCGAGGCAGAAAUGCGUAGUCGAUGGGAAACGGGUUAAUAUUCCCGUACUUAUAUAAUCAGUGAUGGAGGGACGGAGAAGGCUAGGCAAGCUUGGCGUUGGUUGUCCAAGUGAAAGUGUGUAGGCUGAGAUUUUAGGUAAAUCCGGAAUCUUAAGGCCGAGACACGAGACGAGCUCCCAAGGGAGUGAAGUUGUUGAUGCCCUGCUUCCAGGAAAAGCUUCUAAACUUAUGAUUAUAUGAACCGUACCCCAAACCGACACAGGUGGUCAGGUAGAGAAUACCAAGGCGCUUGAGAGAACUCGGGUGAAGGAACUAGGCAAAAUGGUGCCGUAACUUCGGGAGAAGGCACGCUGAUAUGUAGGUGAAGCGACUUGCUCGUGGAGCUGAAAUCAGUCGAAGAUACCAGCUGGCUGCAACUGUUUAUUAAAAACACAGCACUGUGCAAACACGAAAGUGGACGUAUACGGUGUGACGCCUGCCCGGUGCCGGAAGGUUAAUUGAUGGGGUUAGCGCAAGCGAAGCUCUUGAUCGAAGCCCCGGUAAACGGCGGCCGUAACUAUAACGGUCCUAAGGUAGCGAAAUUCCUUGUCGGGUAAGUUCCGACCUGCACGAAUGGCGUAACGAUGGCCACACUGUCUCCACCAUAGACUCAGUGAAAUUGAAAUCGCUGUUAAGAUGCAGUGUACCCGCAGCUAGACGGAAAGACCCCGUGCACCUUUACUACAGGUUCACACUGGACUUUGACUUUAUUUGUGUAGGAUAGGUGGGAGACUUUGAAGCUAGGACGCUAGUCUUAGUGGAGUCGUCCUUGAAAUACCACCCUUGUAUGUUUGAUGUUCUAACAUUG
rnacentral:rRNA from 1 species